CCUCCCUGAAGCCUGAACUUGAGUGCUGGCAGGCAGGCAGCAAGGAAUGAAGGAAGGAGGGAGGCAAGGUAGCCAGCGCUGGCUGUCCUUGCCCACCACAGCUCUGCCCCGCCUUUGACUCUUCAGGCUUAGUAAUGGAGAUGUUCGAUUGCUACUUAAUAAUGAUAACCUUCUCAGGGAAGGAGCAGCCCGUGCUUUUGCACAGUAUAACUGGGACCAGUUUAAUCCAGUCAGAAUAGAAGAAUAUGAUGAUCAGGUAUAUGGAAAACAAUUGAUGGACAUCAAACAAUUAUUGUAUGCAGAGAAAGCCAUCUGUUUCAAGCAAAAAAAACCCAACCCAACCUUUGAAUGAAGCCCAAAGCAAAAGAAUUUGUAAAGAUUGUAGAGGCCACAGAAACUGAAUUCCAGACUGCUGUCAGUGAAAACUAUCAAACUAUAUCGGACACUACUUUCAAGGCCUUACACAAACAAAUGCAGUAAAGAAAAUCAGAGUGCACUUGGGUCCUGUGCCAUGAAUGUCCAGCAGCCCAUGUAUGUGAACAGUGAUAAUACAAUAAGGAAAUAGCCCGAGGAUGAUGAGAUGGACCUGGGAGGGGAAAUCAACUGUGGCAGAAAGAAUGGAGUCAAACAGUGAGCCAGCCUCAUUAGUGAAAGAUGCAGAAAAUACCAGAAGAAAGUAGAGGAGAUCGAAGGAAAAUGAUCAAUGUAUGGAGAGUGACCAGGAGCAAAAAGAAAAAAAGCUUAGUUACCAAUGGACUCAACUUUAUAAAGCAUCCCUAGCAGCAGCAGAAACGGCACAUCCUUUCCUUUCCUACAGAUCCUACAGCAAAACUGGCAGAAGGCAAGCAAAGACUCCCAUUGACAAGAAAGAAGAAGAGUCAGGGAUCCAGAUGGGGAGACAUCCGUCACAUUCUUGGACAGACUCUGAAUGCCAAGCAUAGUCACAUUGAACAGAGUGAUACUUUUGAUCUUCAGAAUACAAGGCCAGCCCUGCUGAACCAUUUUUUUUGGGGGGGGGGGCACUCACCUCAACUAGAGAGGUACUACCAUGCUCCUUUAAUCUAAUGGCACAAUUUCUCACCUGCCAUGGUGGGUCUGGUCGUUAGCUGCUCUGAAUUCUAAUUUUGCUGUUCUCAGCCCUAAAGGAGAGCUGAGAUAUCUCUCUCCGGAAAGACAAACUCCCACUGAGAUACAGUUGAUUACAAAAGGGACUAGGUCCCACUCUGCUCACUGAUCUGGCAUCAGUUGAGAAAUAGACAACUGAAUAGCGAUGAGGCAAAAAAUCACCACAAAAUAAAAAGUGUAAACAUGUAUACUUCACAGUUCCACCAAUAGGUAGUCCCCAUUCUUAACCAGCAAACCAAACAUAAAAUAUGAAAAAACUCAUCUCCCUGCUGGCUGCCAAACUAUUGCUGGCUGCAGUGGUUUCACAAAAGGCUGGCGAAUGUACUCAUUCAGCACAUGUAUAUGUUUGUUUGUUUGUUGAAUACAUUUAUAUACCGUCCCAUACAAAACGUCCCUGGGAGGUUCACAAUAUAAAACAUUCCUUCACAAAUGAUGCAGCAAAUGUGCCAAGCAAGCCUAUACUGUACAAGUUUAUCUGCAAUGCAGGCAGGAGAAAUGCAGCCUACUUAUACACAUUACAGAGGGCACAUGGUAAGGACAGAUAUUAGCAUGAGGUUUUUCACAAAGGACUUUUAAAGCCCUUUAACUCGCAUCUUCUCUGGCCAGAUUUACCCCGAAGUCCCUGCAAGUUAUCGGGAGCAGUCAAUGCACAAUAUGGAUUUUUCACUGCACGUUAGAGUGUAGCCCAAUUUACAUCUGAGGUUAAAUAAACAAAAAUCCACUCUUUAUGUAGGGUUUUGGGGACAACAAGUUUGCAGUUGGUAAUGAAGCACCCUCCGUGUUAUGGGUGAUCAGAGGGAGGAGCUUGUGGAGUGGGAGAAAAGUAACACAAUGAAAAGAAAGAUAUCACCACUUCCUAUGCAAAAACACUGUUUUUACUGCAAUAACACUAAUCACAACAUCAAAAUUAGUGCUUAGUGGAAUGACUGUUCCUUUUAAUCCCCUCCCUUUGCUGCUGGAGCCUGAAGUGGGAGGGGACAAACCCCCAAACCAAUGAUCCAGCAGCGGGGAAAUCCCCCAAUACAGAGUGUUCCUCGUGUAGUGCAUUGUGGGAUUUCUGGAGGCCAGGCUGCAUUUCCCUGGCCUCCAGAUCUCCUGUGCCACUACCAGAGUGCUGCUCAUGUGGGCGCACAAGUGGUGCUGCCAAUAAGACAACGAAGAUCAUCUGGGGGAAAGUUAGAUGAGAUCCUGCCUUUCCCACCACCCUCCCUGGCAAUUAGAUAAUGUGAAUGAGCUUAAUAUAUGUAUGCAAAUAUGGCUAGUUUGAACAUGAAAAAGAAUUGAUGCAUGCAGCACCCCCAAUUUCUACUUUAGUUACUCUAAAGCAAUAAUUAAAAGUUGUAAAAUGUGCCAGGAUCAAAUACAUUCCAACAUUUCACAUCA